GCCUGGGUGGCUCAGUUGGUUAAGCGUCUGACUUCAGGUCAUGAUCUCGUGGUUUGUGAGUUCGAGCCCCACACCGGGCU
rnacentral:tRNA from 1 species